rnacentral:rRNA from 1 species
AUGGGAGUGGAGCUACCGCAUCUUGGACAUACGGGAGCGCUGAUUGGAGGCAGCGCCAUGGACGCACGGGAGUACGUCGCAGCCAUGGAGAAGAGCAGCAGGAGAUGGACGACGAGGCGUGCCCACGCAGUCGGCGCUGAUGACGAGGCGGAGCUCCGGAAGCGCACAGCCGGCGUUGGAGACGAGAUAGAGGCGCGCAGGCCCUUGGGCUCCCAUAUCCCGGGUGAGCAGGGCUUGCGUCUCCAUCCCGGACGAGAGGAGGUAGGGGAGGUGGGUCGUUGCCGUCGCUUGGGCACGAGGAGAGCGGCGCAGUGCGAGGAGGUAGGCCCCGACGGCGGGGCUCCUCCACGAGGAGCGCAACCGGCGGCAGGAAUCGCGCUCGACCAGGCGGCAGUUGCGGCAGGAGCCGCGCCGGCCGGCAGGGGCGGAGGGCUGCGCGUCCGGCUGGAGGCAGCUGGCUGCUAUGGCGCGGCGGGAAGUCGACUGGAGAUGGCGACGUGGUGGCCGGAUUUUGGUGGCGGCGCCCGUGAUUGGGUGCGGGUGUGUGCUGCGGUUCUUGACAGACGAGGGGGCCAUCCCAACACCCUAGGAGGAGGGGACGAGGGAGCAGGUCAUCUGCGAGCUCAAGAUGGUAUUGGGACAUGGAGAUUCCGGCUUGGAAAAAUCAGAUAUUGCGGGCAUAUUGUGACGGAUUGGGCCAAGGCGGUGGCAUGUGAGGAGAGGGUUCCCCCGAGGCGAGGGACGGCUGCGGUCCUGACCUGUCGUUCUUACACGUUAGGGGGUUUGGACAUCAAUGCUGUAUUUCUCAAUUUUGUGGCUUUCGUACCAUUCUCAUUGGGAAUGAUUGUCCUGUGUGAUCUAUCAUGGUUAUUCUCUUCAGCAUCCAGUCCUAUGCUAGCAAGAGUAAUGACACAAGUGGAUAUGCCAAGCAAAUAUGUCCUGCUUGGAUCAUAUAUGCUUCUGUAA